rnacentral:rRNA from 1 species
CCCUUAGAUGUUCUGGGCCGCACGCGCGCUACACUGAUGCAUUCAACAAGCCUAGCCUUGACCGAGAGGUCCGGGUAAUCUUUGAAACUGCAUCGUGAUGGGGCUAGAUUAUUGCAAUUAUUAAUCUUCAACGAGGAAUGCCUAGUAAGCGUGAUUCAUCAAAUCGCGUUGAUUACGUCCCUGCCCUUUGUACACACCGCCCGUCGCUCCUACCGAUUGAAUGUGUUGGUGAGGAGCUCGGAUUGGCAGCAGUUGGUGGUUCGCCACCGGCUAUUGCUGAGAAGUCCUCCAAACCGCCCCAUUUAGAGGAAGGAGAAGUAGUAACA